rnacentral:rRNA from 1 species
GAUGAACGCUGGCGGCGUGCUUAACACAUGCAAGUCGAACGACCAGACGAGUGGUUUCCCUCUCGGAUCAUUGGCGCACGGGGGUGUAACACGUGUGGAUCCUGUCCCUCACUGUGGGAGAAGCACUGGGAACUGUGUCUCAAACUGGAGACGACCAAUCCUACCGUGGGGUUUUGGUGUGAAGAUUUAUCGGUGAUGGAUGGACUCGCGGCCUAUCAGCUUAUUGGCGGGUUAAUGGCCUACCAACGCGACGACGGGUCGCCGGCCCGCGAGGGUGACCGGCCACACUGGGACUGAGACACGGACCAGAAUCCUACGGGAGGCAGCAGUGGGGAAUAUUGCACAAUAGCCGAGAGCCUGAUGCAGAGACGCCGCGUGAGGGAUGCCGGCCUUUGGGUUGUAAACAUCUUUCAGAAGGGAAGAAGCGAAAGUGACGGUACCUGCAGAAGAAGCACCGGCUAACUACGUG